GCUGAAAGACACGAUCACAAUUGUAGCUCGGCAAUUGUAGCUAUUUCUUUUUUUAAUAUUAUUAAUUUUACAAUUUUUUUAUUGUACAAUAUAUUGAAUGUUAUUGACUUCAUAUCUUACUAUCGCGUAAGUUUACAUACAUUAAUAAUAUUUAAUAUAUGACAGUAACUAUGCGAAUUAUGGCAGUUAAUAGGGCAGAUGAAACAAUAUCCUGUCGAAGCGGUGCCAAUUAACUAACGAGAUCUAAAAUAAACCGCAAUGGAGGCCAUGGCGAUCGAAAGGUGGCUCAUUAAUUCCUGACGCUUCUUACGGCGCCAUAAUUCCGAGCAACGACAAGAAUAAAUCGAUGAUGAUGAUGAUAUCUCAGCCUAAUUUGACAGUGAUCUCAUUUCGUAACGUUAAUGAGCUGCGAACCGGAAGUGACAUCGUCCGACAUUAUGACCGAUCGUCUGCAAAGAGGCAAAAAUUCCGCUCAGCUGGCUCACAAUGAGAAAAUUACAUAAAACGGCUGUCAUCCGAGUGGCAUUACGAACAAAUUUGGUUUGCCAAGUUCCGUUACGGGUCGUUCCGUCAUGUGCCACCGCUUUUGCGCGAUAUUACGAAAUUACGAAUCCGCAGAUGCAUCGCACAUACAUACAUCGUCGAUUCGCCACGCGGAUCUUCUAUGUUUACAGUUCGAGUUGUCGAAACAUCCGUGAAAACAAACUUCUCUCGGAUGAGUUCCCGUAAUAUUCCGUCGCGGAUAUUCUCGCGAAGUCGCGCGCGCCGGAGAGAAAAUUUGGAGACGCCAGGCCAUGAUUAACGCGACCUUUGGAGAGCCGUAAACAACAGCUUUCCGUGAUAUUUUCUCGCGGAAAGCAAUUUCUCAUUUCAUCUCUACUACGUAAAGUCACGUCGAGGUAAUCGCUUUGAAAGAGUAGCUCGAGAUUUACGUGCGAUUCAUCCACAACGUUUUUAUUAGUCUUGAAAUUAUUAGCUUCAGCUCGAGGAACAAUGAAAAAAAUAUAAGACACAUUGAUAUUACUCAUCUCAGUCUAGUAUUAAAAUUUUCCUUACUUUUCUAUUUUUAUAUCUUUUUGAAUCAAGCUUUUUCUCGAAGAUAAAGAAACAUAAUUAUAUCUAUAUAUAUUUCUUAUACAUCUAUAAUUAUAAAAAAUAUGAUUAUCAUAUUACAAUGAUCAAUUUAUAGCAAUUGGAUAAUUGAAGAUAAAAAAAAUUAACAAAUAUGGCUUAAUAAUAGAUUAAAUAAUAAAUUAUAUUGAAAUAUAUAUAUAAAGAUAUAAA